GACGAACGCUGGCGGCGUGCUUAACACAUGCAAGUCGAACGGUGAAGCGCCUUCCUUUUUGGUGGGUGUGGAUGAGUGGCGAACGGGUGAGUAACACGUGAGUAACCUGCCCCCUUCUUCUGGAUAACCGCAUGAAAGUGUGGCUAAUACGGGAUAUUCUGGGUCUGUCGCAUGAUGGGUCUGGGAAAAAUAUUGUUUCGGUGGGGGAUGGGCUCGCGGCCUAUCAGCUUGUUGGUGGGGUGAUGGCCUACCAAGGCGGUGACGGGUAGCCGGCCUGGGAGGGUGGACGGUCACACUGGGACGGAGACACGGCCCAGACUCCUACGGGAGGCAGCAGUGGGGAAUAUUGCACAAGGGGCGCAAGCCUGAUGCAGCGACGCCGCGUGAGGGAUGGAGGCCUGCGGGUUGUGAACCUCUGUCGCCAGUGAAGCAGGCCUGCCUCGUUUGUGGGUGGGUUGACGGUAGCUGGAUAAGAAGCGCCGGCUAACUACGUG
rnacentral:rRNA from 1 species